rnacentral:rRNA from 1 species
AACGAACGCUGGCGGCAGGCCUAACACAUGCAAGUCGAGCGAGGUAGCAAUACCUAGCGGCGGACGGGUUAGUAACGCGUGGGAACGUGCCCAAAGGUACGGAAUAGCCUCGGGAAACUGAGAGUAAUACCGUAUGUGCCCUUCGGGGGAAAGAUUUAUCGCCUUUGGAUCGGCCCGCGUUGGAUUAGGUAGUUGGUGGGGUAAUGGCCUACCAAGCCGACGAUCCAUAGCUGGUUUGAGAGGAUGAUCAGCAACACUGGGACUGGAGACGACCGGCCCAGACCUCCGUACGGGGAGGCAGCAGGUGGGGAAUCUUAGAACAAGGUACGGGGGAAACCCUGA